GUGACAUGAUGAUUCAGUUUAUCCAUUCGCUGAGUGCGCUGCACUGACCAUCUUUCCAGGCCUCAGUUCCUGUUCUAGGAACUUGGGGUUGUGUAGCUUCCAAAUGCCCUGCAGCCUGCAGUGUUCUAUUGUGGACUGCUUGUGUGUUGGUAGACUACUGGGAGGAAUGGUUGGUGCCAGCAGGGAUGGGUCCCACUGGGUCCUAUCUCACUAAGAUGAGUGGUAGAAAUCUGAUCAC